CCGUCUCGUGUCGCUCGUCUUCUCUGCGGCUCUGCCCGAGCGAACUAGCAGAAUCCGCCGCCACCGCGCGCCUUCCUUCUUCCCUCCUCUCCCCCUCCAACCUCCUUUUUCUCGUCGUGCUGCGCCUACGGCAUGGCCGGCCGACUGAUUAGCUAGCCCGUGGCGGUACUCGGCCUCCUCGGGCUUCGCUCUUGCACAUAGUCGCCGCAUCUGCUGGCACCCAACAUGUGGCCGUACCUCCGGCGAGCCUCCAGGCGAGCGCUCUUCCCCUCCCGUACCAUUUGUUGUUUUGCUGACCAAGAAUGCUUGCCGCUUUUUUCGCUCUCUAAUGUUGUCCGGUUCCGGUAAUAUUGUUAGUCCUCUCUCCCGAUAUAAUCAGUCUUGUUAAGGAACGAUUUCAUUUCAUUUGGUGGUCGCAGCUGCAGAUGACGUUAAUUUGAUUCCUUAUAAAAUUGCAUUGUACCUCUGGUGUGGAAUAUCCGAUUGGGGAGAAACAAAAUAUAGCAUUUUAAUGGAAUGAACAUAUGUCCGUAUAUUACGUAAUUUGAGGAAUUAGUACAGAAAAAAGCAACAAAGAAGAGUGCCUCAUGAUCAUGUGCCAACCAGAAAACUGCAUAAACUCUAUGUCCUUAAUACCCCUCAUAUUCAUAUAGCUGUAUAUACAUGACAAAAUCUGGGCUGCAACAUUUUUUUAGGGGCCGAGCCUUGAAUUUUCAAAUUCUCCUUAACUGUUCCCCCCUUGAUUUUGACAUUUUCUGCAGAGUCCACAAAAAGGCUCAUCAACAUCAAUUUUUAUGGUGAGUUCUUGGGCCAAGAUGCAGCUGAUCUACCAGCUGACAACUUGUGAGGUUAAUUAAUGGUGAGUUCUUGGUUGCAAUGGUUGAGUCCAGUAAUUAAUGGGAAUGUUAUCAUUGAAGUCCUGCAGGUACCUGAACAGAGCCAUGUUUUUUAGACAAAAGGACAGUGUACACGUUUUUCCUUGAUGAAGUUUUAUUGUUGAUUGUUCUCAUUUCAUCACCUGGAAGCGUGGUCUCAGAAUCAAAGCUUUAGCGUCUGUUUUCCAAUAUUUCAGAUCCCUGAAUCCUCCUACAGUCAGAUUCAGUUAUUGCAGUGCUUGCGAGGUUUCUAGUUUGUCAACCUGGAAUCUGACUCACAAGUGCUGCUGAAUCUAUGGUAACUCUAGAGCAAGUCAUAUAUCAAGUAUUAUGCCUAUCCUUCAGCAGAUGGAUGAUCUUGCUAGGGUUUUUUCUGGUCUUACUUUUGUUCAUGUAAACAGAGAUGCGAACACACUAGCUCGUAUAACUGCAAACUAUCAUCUCAAACUGAUUCGGAUUGCAUCUGGUCUAACCACA